CAGCACAGCACAGCACAGCACACACAGCACAGCACACACAGAACACACAGCACACACAGCACAGCACAGCACACACAGCACAGCACACACAGCACAGCACAGCACAGCACAGCACACACAGCACAGCACACACAGCACAGCACAGACAGCACAGCACAGACAGCACAGCACAGCACACACAGCACAGCACAGCACACACAGCACAGCACAGCACACACAGCACAGCACAGCACACACAGCACAGCACAGCACACACAGCACAGCACACACAGCACAGCACAGCACAGCACAGCACA
rnacentral:lncRNA from 1 species